rnacentral:rRNA from 1 species
GACGAACGCUGGCGGCGUGCUUAACACAUGCAAGUCGAACGGAAAGGCCCUGCUUUUGUGGGGUGCUCGAGUGGCGAACGGGUGAGUAACACGUGAGUAACCUGCCCUUGACUUUGGGAUAACUUCAGGAAACUGGGGCUAAUACCGGAUAUGAGCUCCUGCUGCAUGGGGGGGGUUGGAAAGUUUCGGCGGUUGGGGAUGGACUCGCGGCUUAUCAGCUUGUUGGUGGGGUAGUGGCUUACCAAGGCUUUGACGGGUAGCCGGCCUGAGAGGGUGACCGGCCACAUUGGGACUGAGAUACGGCCCAGACUCCUACGGGAGGCAGCAGUGGGGAAUAUUGCACAAUGGGCGGAAGCCUGAUGCAGCAACGCCGCGUGCGGGAUGACGGCCUUCGGGUUGUAAACCGCUUUCGCCUGUGACGAAGCGUGAGUGACGGUAAUGGGUAAAGAAGCACCGGCUAACUACGUG